rnacentral:pre_miRNA from 14 species
GUAGCUGUUCUAAAUGAGACGUGGAUGUGAAGGAGCCGAGAUAAACUCCAGGGAACGAUGGGAGGGGUAACACG